UAGCUAUUAACACAAAGAUGAGAAAGAUCCAAGUGUAUUUUCUUAAAUUGUUAUUGCGCCCAUCAAAAUUGUGUCGAUACGAUGCAAAGUUGCUCUAACGACGAAGAAGAAAAUUUUUCGAGGGAAAGGAAUGGAGUGCGCGAUAGCGUUAAGUUAGCAAGCGUCAAAGCAGCCAGUUUAUUUCGAGCGUUUUCGAUUUUGAGAAGGCAGACUCGCGUGCCACUGGCAAAGCCAAUUACACAAUGGCUCGUAAAGGAGGUUCGUGCGAAUUUCGGUUGAGAUAGAGGCGCGCGCAAACAGUGCGCGUUCUGGCUCGUUUCGUUUCCGCGCAUUCUCCGUACCUCGAAAUGAAGCACGGAAAACGGUUAAAAGUUAACAGGACCGGGCAAGUUGACGGUGAUCCAAAAUAUUUUUCUUUCAACGGGCCGUGUCAGGGUGCGUCCGUUCAUAACGCUGACAAAAUUAGAUCUCCGCUCCGUCAAGUUAUUUUAAUGAGAAUUCUACUUCUCGCUGUGUCAAGAUCGCGCGAUUCAACGACCAACACAUUGCGUACAGCAUGAAAUGCAUAAAGGGAUAGUAUUUCUACGCUUGGGAUACGAUCGUGUUUGACGAGCCAACUGGUAAAGCCACCGGAUCGAUUCUUAUCGGUUGCGUGUCUUUCUCUAGAGGUCGUAACUUGUACGAGUUAUCUAAUAUCAGGCGCACACACUGCAUCCCAAACAAAACAAGCUAUAUUUCGGAAGAAGCGAUUAAACUCGUGCGUUUCGUAUCGCAGAAAGAAGGCCGGAUUCCAUUAAAAUCUUCAACAGUUCUCGAGCAAUUAUCGUACAACGUAAUGAUAAAACGUUUUCUUCCUAUCCAAUUAUUCUGCUAUGAAACACAAACUGUUCGAAGCAAUAAAUUAACAAUGCUAGAGGGGCAUUCCUCCUAUCAUA